UACGUAGGGGGCAAGCGUUGUCCGGAAUUAUUUGGGCGUAAAGAGCGUGUAGGCGGUUCAAUAAGUUUUGCUGUAAAAAGUCGGGGGGCUCAACCCCCCGAAAGCCGGUAAAUACUGUUGGACUAGAGUACGGAAGAGGCGAGUGGAAUUCCUGGUGUAGCGGUGGAAUGCGCAGAUAUCAGGAGGAACACCUAUAGCGAAGGCAGCUUGCUGGGACGUAACUGACGCUAAGGCGCGAAAGCGUGGGGAGCGAACAGG
rnacentral:rRNA from 1 species